rnacentral:misc_RNA from 1 species
AACGCACGAGACCUGCGGACCUGCGGAAGGAUCAUUACUGAGUGAGGGCCCUCUGGGUCCAACCUCCCACCCGUGUUUAUCUGUACCUUGUUGCUUCGGCAGGCCCGCCUCACGGCCGCCGGGGGGCUUCACGCCCCCGGGCCCGCGCCUGCCGGAGACAAUCUUGAACGCUGUCUGAAGAAUGCAGUCUGAGCGAUUAAGCAAAAUUAGUUAAAACUUUCAACAAUGGAUCUCUAGAUC